GACGAACGCUGGCGGCGUGCUUAACACAUGCAAGUCGAACGGAAAGGCCCUGCUUUUGUGGGGUGCUCGAGUGGCGAACGGGUGAGUAACACGUGAGUAACCUGCCCUUGACUUUGGGAUAACUUCAGGAAACUGGGGCUAAUACCGGAUAGGAGCUCCUGCUGCAUGGUGGGGGUUGGAAAGUUUCGGCGGUUGGGGAUGGACUCGCGGCUUAUCAGCUUGUUGGUGGGGUAGUGGCUUACCAAGGCUUUGACGGGUAGCCGGACUGAGAGGGUGACCGGCCACAUUGGGCCUGAGAAACCGCCCAGACUCCUACGGGAGGAAGCAGUGGGGGAUAUUGCACGAUGGGCGGAAGCCGUAUGCAGCAACGCCGCGUGCGGGAUGACGGCCUUCGGGUUGUAACCCGCUUUCGCCUGUGACGAAGCGUGAGUGACGGUAAUGGGUAAAGAAGCACCGGCUAACUACGUG
rnacentral:rRNA from 1 species